AGUGAACGCUGGCGGUAGGCCUAACACAUGCAAGUCGAACGGCAGCACAGUAAGAGCUUGCUCUUACGGGUGGCGAGUGGCGGACGGGUGAGGAAUACAUCGGAAUCUACUUUUUCGUGGGGGAUAACGUAGGGACACUUACGCUAAUACCGCAUACGACCUACGGGUGAAAGCAGGAGAUCUUCGGACCUUUCGCGAUUGAAUGAGCCGAUGUCGGAUUAGCUAGUUGGCGGGGUAAAGGCCCACCAAGGCGACGAUCCGUAGCUGGUCUGAGAGGAUGAUCAGCCACACUGGAACUGAGACACGGUCCAGACUCCUACGGGAGGCAGCAGUGGGGAAUAUUGGACAAUGGGCGCAAGCCUGAUCCAGCCAUACCGCGUGAGUGAAGAAGGCCUUCGGGUUGUAAAGCCCUUUUGUUGGGAAAGAAAAGCAGCAGGUUAAUACCCCGCUGUUCUGACGGUACCCAAAGAAUAAGCACCGGCUAACUUCGUG
rnacentral:rRNA from 1 species